rnacentral:rRNA from 1 species
CUUGAAUUUAAACUCCAAACCCCUGUGACAUACCACUUGUUGCCUCGGCGGAUCAGCCCGCUCCCGGUAAAACGGGACGGCCCGCCAGAGGACCCCUAAACUCUGUUUCUAUAUGUAACUUCUGAGUAAAACCAUAAAUAAAUCAAAACUUUCAACAACGGAUCUCUUGGUUCUGGCAUCGAUGAAGAACGCAGCAAAAUGCGAUAAGUAAUGUGAAUUGCAGAAUUCAGUGAAUCAUCGAAUCUUUGAACGCACAUUGCGCCCGCCAGUAUUCUGGCGGGCAUGCCUGUUCGAGCGUCAUUUCAACCCUCAAGCACAGCUUGGUGUUGGGACUCGCGUUAAUUCGCGUUCCUCAAAUUGAUUGGCGGUCACGUCGAGCUUCCAUAGCGUAGUAGUAAAACCCUCGUUACUGGUAAUCGUCGCGGCCACGCCGUUAAACCCCAACUUCUGAAUGUUGACCUCGGAUCAGGUAGGAAUACCCGCUGAACUUAAGCAUAUCAAUAAGCGGAGGAA